rnacentral:rRNA from 1 species
GAUGAACGCUGGCGGCGUGCCUAAUACAUGCAAGUCGAGCGAAUGGAUUAAGAGCUUGCUCUUAUGAAGUUAGCGGCGGACGGGUGAGUAACACGUGGGUAACCUGCCCAUAAGACUGGGAUAACUCCGGGAAACCGGGGCUAAUACCGGAUAACAUUUUGAACCGCAUGGUUCGAAAUUGAAAGGCGGCUUCGGCUGUAACUUAUGGAUGGACCCGCGUCGCAUUAGCUAGUUGGUGAGGUAACGGCUCGCCAAGGCAACGAUGCGUAGCCGACCUGAGAGGGUGAUCGGCCACACUGGGACUGAGACACGGCCCAGACUCCUACGGGAGGCAGCAGUAGGGAAUCUUCCGCAAUGGACGAAAGUCUGACGGAGCAACGCCGCGUGAGUGAUGAAGGCUUUCGGGUCGUAAAACUCUGUUGUUAGGGAAGAACAAGUGCUAGCUGAAUAAGCUGGCACCUUGACGGUACCUAACCAGAAAGCCACGGCUAACUACGUGCCAGCAGCCGCCGUAA